rnacentral:rRNA from 1 species
UACAGAGGUCUCAAGCGUUGUUCGGAUUCAUUGGGCGUAAAGGGUGCGUAGGCGGCGCGGUAAGUCGGGUGUGAAAUCUCGGAGCUUAACUCGAAACUGCAUUCGAUACUGCCGUGCUUGAGGACUGGAGAGGAGACUGGAAUUUACGGUGUAGCGGUGGAAAUGCGUAGAUAUCGUAAGGAAGACCAGUGGCGAAGGCGGGUCUCUGGACAGUUC